rnacentral:rRNA from 1 species
GGGUUGUGAGGUUAAGCGACUAAGCGUACACGGUGGAUGCCCUGGCAGUCAGAGGCGAUGAAGGGCGUGCUAAUCUGCGAUAAGCGCCGGUAAGGUGAUAUGAACCGUUAUAACCGGCGAUACCCGAAUGGGGAAACCCAGUGUGACUCGUCACACUAUCAUUAACUGAAUCCAUAGGUUAAUGAGGCGAACCGGGGGAACUGAAACAUCUAAGUACCCCGAGGAAAAGAAAUCAACCGAGAUUCCCCCAGUAGCGGCGAGCGAACGGGGAGGAGCCCAGAGCCUGAAUCAGCAUGUGUGUUAGUGGAAGCGUCUGGAAAGGCGCGCGAUACAGGGUGACAGCCCCGUACACAAAAGCGCAUGUGCUGUGAGCUCGAUGAGUAGGGCGGGACACGUGGUAUCCUGUCUGAAUAUGGGGGGACCAUCCUCCAAGGCUAAAUACUCCUGACUGACCGAUAGUGAACCAGUACCGUGAGGGAAAGGCGAAAAGAACCCCGGCGAGGGGAGUGAAAAAGAACCUGAAACCGUGUACGUACAAGCAGUGGGAGCACCCUUUGGGGUGUGACUGCGUACCUUUUGUAUAAUGGGUCAGCGACUUAUAUUCUGUAGCAAGGUUAACCGAAUAGGGGAGCCGGAGGGAAACCGAGUCUUAACCGGGCGUUAAGUUGCAGGGUAUAGACCCGAAACCCGGUGAUCUAGCCAUGGGCAGGUUGAAGGUUGGGUAACACUAACUGGAGGACCGAACCGACUAAUGUUGAAAAAUUAGCGGAUGACCUGUGGCUGGGGGUGAAAGGCCAAUCAAACCGGGAGAUAGCUGGUUCUCCCCGAAAGCUAUUUAGGUAGCGCCUCGUGAAUUCAUCUCCGGGGGUAGAGCACUGUUUCGGCUAGGGGGCCAUCCCGGCUUACCAACCCGAUGCAAACUGCGAAUACCGGAGAAUGUUAUCACGGGAGACACACGGCGGGUGCUAACGUCCGUCGUGAAGAGGGAAACAACCCAGACCGCCAGCUAAGGUCCCAAAGUCAUGGUUAAGUGGGAAACGAUGUGGGAAGGCCCAGACAGCCAGGAUGUUGGCUUAGAAGCAGCCAUCAUUUAAAGAAAGCGUAAUAGCUCACUGGUCGAGUCGGCCUGCGCGGAAGAUGUAACGGGGCUAAACCAUGCACCGAAGCUGCGGCAGCGACACUAUGUGUUGUUGGGUAGGGGAGCGUUCUGUAAGCCUGUGAAGGUGGCCUGUGAGGGUUGCUGGAGGUAUCAGAAGUGCGAAUGCUGACAUAAGUAACGAUAAAGCGGGUGAAAAGCCCGCUCGCCGGAAGACCAAGGGUUCCUGUCCAACGUUAAUCGGGGCAGGGUGAGUCGACCCCUAAGGCGAGGCCGAAAGGCGUAGUCGAUGGGAAACGGGUUAAUAUUCCCGUACUUGGUGUUACUGCGAAGGGGGGACGGAGAAGGCUAUGUUGGCCGGGCGACGGUUGUCCCGGUUUAAGCGUGUAGGUGUGUGUUCCAGGUAAAUCCGGUUCACUUUAACACUGAGGCGUGAUGACGAGGCACUACGGUGCUGAAGCAACAAAUGCCCUGCUUCCAGGAAAAGCCUCUAAGCAUCAGGUAACAUCAAAUCGUACCCCAAACCGACACAGGUGGUCAGGUAGAGAAUACCAAGGCGCUUGAGAGAACUCGGGUGAAGGAACUAGGCAAAAUGGUGCCGUAACUUCGGGAGAAGGCACGCUGACACGUAGGUGAAGUGAUUUACUCAUGGAGCUGAAGUCAGUCGAAGAUACCAGCUGGCUGCAACUGUUUAUUAAAAACACAGCACUGUGCAAACACGAAAGUGGACGUAUACGGUGUGACGCCUGCCCGGUGCCGGAAGGUUAAUUGAUGGGGUCAGCGCAAGCGAAGCUCCUGAUCGAAGCCCCGGUAAACGGCGGCCGUAACUAUAACGGUCCUAAGGUAGCGAAAUUCCUUGUCGGGUAAGUUCCGACCUGCACGAAUGGCGUAAUGAUGGCCAGGCUGUCUCCACCCGAGACUCAGUGAAAUUGAACUCGCUGUGAAGAUGCAGUGUACCCGCGGCAAGACGGAAAGACCCCGUGAACCUUUACUAUAGCUUGACACUGAACAUUGAGCCUUGAUGUGUAGGAUAGGUGGGAGGCUUUGAAGUGUGGACGCCAGUCUGCAUGGAGCCGACCUUGAAAUACCACCCUUUAAUGUUUGAUGUUCUAACGUGGACCCGUGAUCCGGGUUGCGGACAGUGUCUGGUGGGUAGUUUGACUGGGGCGGUCUCCUCCUAAAGAGUAACGGAGGAGCACGAAGGUUGGCUAAUCCUGGUCGGACAUCAGGAGGUUAGUGCAAUGGCAUAAGCCAGCUUGACUGCGAGCGUGACGGCGCGAGCAGGUGCGAAAGCAGGUCAUAGUGAUCCGGUGGUUCUGAAUGGAAGGGCCAUCGCUCAACGGAUAAAAGGUACUCCGGGGAUAACAGGCUGAUACCGCCCAAGAGUUCAUAUCGACGGCGGUGUUUGGCACCUCGAUGUCGGCUCAUCACAUCCUGGGGCUGAAGUAGGUCCCAAGGGUAUGGCUGUUCGCCAUUUAAAGUGGUACGCGAGCUGGGUUUAGAACGUCGUGAGACAGUUCGGUCCCUAUCUGCCGUGGGCGCUGGAGAACUGAGGGGGGCUGCUCCUAGUACGAGAGGACCGGAGUGGACGCAUCACUGGUGUUCGGGUUGUCAUGCCAAUGGCACUGCCCGGUAGCUAAAUGCGGAAGAGAUAAGUGCUGAAAGCAUCUAAGCACGAAACUUGCCCCGAGAUGAGUUCUCCCUGAGACUUAGAGUCUCCUGAAGGAACGUUGAAGACGACGACGUUGAUAGGCCGGGUGUGUAAGCGCAGCGAUGCGUUGAGCUAACCGGUACUAAUGAACCGUGAGGCUUAACCUUACAACGCCGAAG